UACGUAGGGUGCGAGCGUUGUCCGGAAUUAUUGGGCGUAAAGAGCUCGUAGGCGGUCUGUCGCGUCGAUCGUGAAAACUUGGGGCUUAACCCUGAGCUUGCGGUCGAUACGGGCAUGACUGGAGUUCGGCAGGGGAGACUGGAAUUCCUGGUGUAGCGGUGAAAUGCGCAGAUAUCAGGAGGAACACCAAUGGCGAAGGCAGCACUCUGGGACGUGACUGACGCUGAGACGCGAAAGCGUGGGGAGCAAACAGG
rnacentral:rRNA from 1 species